GACCUACUCUGUCACAGGACAUCCACUGUUUAAGCACCACCACUACCUCAGGAAGUCCACUGUCUGUGUGUCAACUCCACUUUCAAAGGACCUUCACUGUCACAGAACCGGCGCUAUUUCAGUGCCUCCACUGUCACAGGACCUACCUCUUCACAGGAUCUGCACUGUUGCAGCAACUGUAAUUUCAAUUUUUCAAAGUCAUUGCUGGUUAUUAGAUUUGAGGCUGAAUGAAAUGUGAUGCUACUUUUGACAGCAUAAGAAUUUGUUCUAUAGCUCUUGUGAUAAAUGCCGUGUGUGCUAGGACCAGUAACCUAUGGAAGACUUCAUGAGCUCAUACCACUCUCCACCUCACUUUGUGGAAGCUGGUGUUUUUAGAGUGUGAUAAACUUCAGGUGAAUGGAUUCAUUCAGCUUCACCACGCUCUAUAGUGUGCUACACAGCAGUCAUAUUGAGUCCUUGCUGGGAAGAGAAGAAAUCCAGAAGAGGGAGAAGGCUUGGGUUGGGGGAAGAAUCAUCAAAUACUUAGAGGAUAUAAGAAGGUAAGAAUUAUGGGGAACUGGAAAACAGAGCCAGAGGAAGAAUGAGCACAGAGCAAACUGGGAAGGACAAAGUACAAAGGCACGUGGGUUUUGCCAUCUGCGUGUUCUCUGGACAAUCUCCCUUGGCCUCAUUUCUGGGAGAAAACUCUUCCUCCACCCCCUUGUAAUGUUUCAUUCUUGAAGGAAAGCAGCAACACAACUUCAUCAGUGAAUAUCCCCAUUGUAAUUGGUUCAUCCUUUAAUGCCUCUGGGAAAUCCCCAGCUGGGGAAUGUCCUGCUCUCUGCUGAGAGACAGCCGGAAAGUUGGACAACUAGGUGCCCAUGACCAACUCCUCAUUGUGGAUGAAUUUACUCUGGUUGGACUUUCUCAGGAAAGGGCAGCAGAACUCAUGACUACAACCAGUUCCAUGGUUACACUGGAAGUUGCAAAUCAAGGCAUCCUCUCUCACUGCCUGUCCACCUGUCUUACCCAGCCAUUGUCCUCCAUGGUGCAGAGAGGAGUGUAUCCAACAGUUCUCAGAACCUCCUCAGGAACUAUGUGUUUCCCAAAGAUUACCUGCCCUUGCUUACACACCCCUAUUCUGAGUUCUGAAAACUUUUAAAAGCCCAUUCAUCUGAGACUGGUGAGUUCAGGACAGUAGUCCCAAGUGUCUUGUCCUACCCUGACAUUUCACUCUCAUGAGGCAUCACCUGCCCUUGACAGAGGAUUUUCCCACGGGACCUUGGAUGUACUGGGAAUUGUGUGUACUGACUCCUGUCAGAUCUGCACAAGAUAGCAUCAAGGGCCCAUUUGCUCUUCUUUAUGGAAUUCACAUUCCUGGCACUGUUGUUGGUAUUUAGGUCCAUGUCAGUCCAUAGAUAUAUAUUAGCAUGGAAACCCAGGGCAGUUGCCUUCAAAGAUAUUCCUAGUAUGGACCACAUCUUCACCGUGCCAGACGUAAAGCACAGCAAAAUACCAGGCAGGUAGAGAACCCUCAGUGGCUGGAACUGGCAUGUUCAAACACUCUGGCUUGACCUUGGCCAGCACAGACAAAGAGGACAGCCUCUAUGUAGGAUGAUCUCCUUCCUCCUCUCAGAGUAUAGGACAUCUAGAGUCAGGCUAAGGUGCUGGCACCCAUGUGAGCAUAGGCAGCAGCCUGGGCUUCUUCAAUGUCAAAGCCUACCUGCCACCCCUGUAUCACAUGUCAGAGCAGCCAAUCUCAUGAGAAUUCUAGGAGUGCUGAUAUCCUGGGUGACUAUCCCAUGUUCUGCUGCUAGUUUCUUUGCUUCCACAUGGCCAACUGUGAGAAGGAAUUGAGAAAGGGAAGGCGAUGAAGCCCUGCUAAUAUCUACUUGGUGUCAGCAAAGAAAAUGGGUUCUGACUGGCGAGAUCUUUGAGUUAGAUUUUCAAAUAUGCCACCUCGGGACAGUUAGUCGGCACUUUCAGGAAGCUGCUCCAGGGUGGGAACAAUGAGAUUGGAUCCCUGAGGCUGGUGCAGUUGGGCAGGGAUUUUGGGACAGUAAAACUGAGUGGGAACAAUGGGCCAGGUGCAACAGUGCAGUGAACCUGUUGCAGGUGCAGUGGAGCAGGGACCCUGGGGGAGGUGCAAUGGGACAGGAGCCCUAGGGAGGGGACCUCAUGGUAGUGGCCCUGUGGCAUGUGCAACUGGCAGGGACCCUGGGGCAGGUGCACUGUGACGUGCACCCAAGCUGGAAUGUUUAGACAGGUGUCUGUUU
rnacentral:lncRNA from 1 species